rnacentral:rRNA from 1 species
AAUACUAGAGUUUGAUCCGGGCUCAGGACGAACGCUGGCGGCGUGCCUAAUACAUGCAAGUCGAGCGGACAGAUGGGAGCUUGCUCCCUGAUGUUAGCGGCGGACGGGUGAGUAACACGUGGGUAACCUGCCUGUAAGACUGGGAUAACUCCGGGAAACCGGGGUAACUAAUACCGGAUGGUUGUUUGAACCGCAUGGUUCAAACAUAAAAGGUGGCUUCGGCUACCACUUACAGAUGGACCCGCGGCGCAUUAGCUAGUUGGUGAGGUAACGGCUCACCAAGCCGGCAACGAUGCGUAGCCGACCUGAGAGGGUGAUCGGCCACACUGGGACUGAGACACGGCCCAGACUCCUACGGGAGGCAGCAGUAGGGAAUCUUCCGCAUAAAUGGACGAAAGUCUGACGGAGCAACGCCGCGUGAGUGAUGAAGGUUUUCGGAUCGUAAAGCUCUGUUGUUAGGGAAGAACAAGUACCGUUCGAAUAGGGCGGUACCUUGACGGUACCUAACCAGAAAGCCACGGCUCCGAACUACGUGCCAGCAGCCGCGGUAAUACGUAGGUGGCAAGCGUUGUCCGGAAUUAUUGGGCGUAAAGGGCUCGCAGGCGGUUUCUUAAGUCUGAUGUGAAAGCCCCCGGCUCAACCGGGGAGGGUCAUUGGAAACUGGGGAACUUGAGUGCAGAAGAGGAGAGUGGAAUUCCACGUGUAGCGGUGAAAUGCGUAGAGAUGUGGAGGAACACCAGUGGCGAAGGCGACUCUCUGGUCUGUAACUGACGCUGAGGAAGCGAAAGCGUGGGGAGCGAACAGGAUUUAGAUACCCCUGGUAGUCCACGCCGUAAACGAUGAGUGCUAAGUGUUAAGGGGUUUCCGCAUUCCCGCA